GACGAACGCUGGCGGCGUGCCUAACACAUGCAAGUCGAGCGAGUGAAUCUCCUUCGGGAGUGAAGCUAGCGGCGGACGGGUGAGUAACACGUGGGCAACCUGCCUCAUAGAGGGGAAUAGCCUUCCGAAAGGAAGAUUAAUACCGCAUAAGAUUGCAGCUUCGCAUGAAGUAGCAAUUAAAGGAGCAAUCCGCUAUGAGAUGGGCCCGCGGCGCAUUAGCUAGUUGGUGAGGUAACGGCUCACCAAGGCGACGAUGCGUAGCCGACCUGAGAGGGUGAUCGGCCACAUUGGGACUGAGACACGGCCCAGACUCCUACGGGAGGCAGCAGUGGGGAAUAUUGCACAAUGGGGAAACCCUGAUGCAGCAACGCCGCGUGAGUGAUGACGGCCUUCGGGUUGUAAAGCUCUGUCUUCAGGGACGAUAAUGACGGUACCUGAGGAGGAAGCCACGGCUAACUACGUGCCAGCCGCCGCGGUAA
rnacentral:rRNA from 1 species